rnacentral:rRNA from 2 species
UACGGAGGGUGCAAGCGUUAUCCGGAUUUAUUGGGUUUAAAGGGUCCGUGGGCGGGCCUGUAAGUCAGUGGUGAAAUCUCAUAGCUUAACUAUGAAACUGCCAUUGAUACUGCAGGUCUUGAGUAAAUUUGAAGUGGCUGGAAUAAGUAGUGUAGCGGUGAAAUGCAUAGAUACUACUUAGAACACCAAUUGCGAAGGCAGGUCGCUAAGAUUUAACUGACGCUGAUGGACGAAAGCGUGGGUAGCGAAC